AGAGUUUGAUCCUGCUCAGACGAACGCUGGCGGCGUGCUUAACACAUGCAAGUCGAGCGAGGCCGACCUUUCGGGUGGUGUCCUAGCGGCGAACAGGUGAGUAACACGUGGGCAACCUGCCCUCAGCUCUGGGAUAACUCCGGGAAACCGGGGCUAAUACCGGAUAUGACCCUGUGAAGCAUUUCGUGGGUGGAAAGUUUUUCGGCUGAGGAUGGGCCCGCGGCCUAUCAGCUUGUUGUGGGGUGAUGGCCUACCAAGGCGACGACGGGUAGCCGGCCUGAGAGGGCGACCGGCCACACUGGGACUGAGACACGGCCCAGACUCCUACGGGAGGCAGCAGUGGGGAAUAUUGCGCAAUGGGCGAAAGCCUGACGCAGCAACGCCGCGUGAGGGACGAAGGCCUUCGGGUUGUAAACCUCUUUCAGCAGGGACGAAGCGAAAGUGACGGUACCUGCAGAAGAAGCACCGGCCAACUACGUG
rnacentral:rRNA from 1 species